rnacentral:rRNA from 1 species
UACGUAGGGUGCAAGCGUUAAUCGGAAUCAUUGGGCGUAAAGCGCGUGUAGGCGGUUCCGUAAGUCCGCUCUGAAAGCCCAGGGCUCAACCCUGGGAGGCGGGUGGAUACUACGGAACUGGAGUACGGAAGAGGAGAUUGGAAUUCCUGGUGUAGCGGUGAAAUGCGCAGAUAUCAGGAGGAACACCAACAGCGAAGGCAGAUCUCUGGGACGUUACUGACGCUGAGACGCGAAAGCGUGGGGAGCAAACAGG